GUUUGAAGGGCUACUUUAAAGAUGUAUACAAUUUGGGGUUUAUUUGGCUAGAAUAAGUUAUUAAACAAAUGUCUUGGAAGGAGGUCUGGUAUUUCGCAGGGUGGGUCUUAUCUGUAUUGGGGCAUAUACUGAGUGAUAUUACAUAUUAUUACCGAGGGGUGUAGACUUGUACUACCAUUACAUAACACUAUAUAAAGGAAUUGGUGUGCACCUAAACUUGGACUACAAUUUAAGAAGGAUACAUCAUUCUGGAUAAUCACCAUUCGUUCAUCAUUUCUUUCCUGGGCCUUGAUAACUGCAUAGAUAAGGUGAGAAUAUUUCUUCUAAGGUAUUGAUAGUUGCUCACUCAAUGCAAUUAAAGUAUAUAGAUUAUUAUUAAUGCAUGACAUAUUUCAGCAUGAAUAUUUGUGUUUAACAUCUAUAAUGUACAAUAGUCUAGUAUAUGUGUUAUAAAUGAUUUAAAGAUGUAUGUGCUCCAUUGUUAUGAUUGUAAUUUUGCAAAUGACCUUGUAUGUAGUGUAACGGCAUGAUCGAAACCAAAAAGGUACAAAAAGUUUGAAGUUGAAGACUAUCAGGCCAAAUAGGAAUUAUUCAUGAAUCAGUUCAACAAAAAGUAUGAUGAUGCGCCCAGCACCAAUCCUGCUUGCAUCAGAAAGAAAGAAA